rnacentral:piRNA from 1 species
UGGCGAAAGGGAACUCCCAAUGCAGUG